GUGCUCACUUCACCAGCACAUACACUAAAAUUGGAGCCAUAUGGAGAAGUUUAUUAUGGUCCCUGUGCAAAGAUGACACACAAUUAAGUGAAUUAAUGCAGAAACAG